rnacentral:rRNA from 1 species
UAGGGAAUCUUCCACAAUGGACGAAAGUCUGAUGGAGCAACGCCGCGUGAGUGAAGAAGGGUUUCGGCCCGUAAAACUCUGUUGUUAAAGAAGAACAUAUCUGAGAGUAACUGUUCAGGUAUUGACGGUAUUUAACCAGAAAGCCACGGCUAACUACGUGCUAG